rnacentral:lncRNA from 1 species
CAUAGCAUCUAAAACAGUAAACUUUUCCAACAACCUUGACCACAAAGUGAUGAUGUGGAGAAUAAUAGUGAGUAGGUGGUGGUGGGGAAGUGUAGUAAUGUGGAGGAGGAGGCGACUUAGCUGGUGGUGGUGGUGAAGUGUAGUAGUAUGGUGGAGGAGGUGACUUAACUGGCGGUGGUGGAGAAGUGUAGUCAUAUGGAGGAGGAAGAGAUUUCUUGGGUGGUGGAGGAGAGUUGUAGUAGUACGGUGGAGGAGUCGACUUAGCUGUUGGUGGUGGUGAAGUAUAGUGAUAGGGUGGAGGAGGUGAUUUCUUUGUUGGUGGAGGAGAAUUGUAGUAGUAUUUUGGAGGAGUAGACUUCUUCGGGGGUGGUGGAGAAUUGUAGUAAUAUGGUGGUGGAGGCGAUUUCUUGGGUGGAGGUGGGGAGUUGUAGUAGUAAGGUGGAGGCGGUGAAGACUUAGGAGGCGGUGGAGACUUAUAGUAGUAGGGUGGUGGAGGUGAUGGUGAUGGUGGUGGAGGAGAUUUGUAAUAGUAAGGUGGUGGUGGGGAAGGUGAAGGAGGUGGUGGAGAUUUGUAGUAGUAUGGUGGAGGUGGUGAUGGUUUGGGUGGUGGUGGAGAUUUGUAAUAAUAUGGUGGCGGGGGUGAUGGUGAAGGUGGUGGAGGAGAUUUAUAGUAGUAUGGUGGUGGUGGUGAAGGUGAUGGUGGAGGAGGUGACUUGUAGUAAUAUGGUGGUGGUGGUGAAGGUGAUGGUGGAGGAGGUGACUUGUAGUUAUAUGGUGGAGGUGGUGAUGGUGAAGGAGGUGGUGGAGAUUUGUAUACAUAUGGUGGUGGUGGAGAGGGCGACGGAGGUGGUGGAGACUUAUAUACAUAUGGUGGUGGUGGAGAUGGUGAAGGAGGAGGUGGAGACAUAUAUACAUAUGGUGGCGGUGGAGACGGAGAAGGAGGAGGUGAUUUAUAGACAUAUGGUGGGGGCGGAGAAGGUGAUGGAGGAGGUGGAGAUUUGUACACAUAAGGUGGUGGUGGAGAAGGAAAAGGAGGUGGUGGUGACUUGUACUCAUACG